GACCGAGGGUGCAACCGUUGUUCGGAAUCACUGGGCGUAAAGCGCGUGUAGGCUGCUGCGCAAGUCGGAUGUGAAAUCCCACGGCUCAACCAUGGAAGUGCAUUCGAAACUGCGUAGCUAGAGUUUUGGAGAGGAAGGCGGAAUACUCGGUGUAGAGGUGAAAUUCGUAGAUAUCGAGUGGAACACCGGUGGCGAAGGCGGCCUUCUGGACCGGUAUUGACGCUGAGGCGCGAAAGCCAGGGGAGCAAACGGG
rnacentral:rRNA from 1 species